rnacentral:rRNA from 1 species
UUCCGGUUGAUCCUGCCGGACCCCACUGCUAUCGAGAUGGGACUAAGGUAUGCUAGUCGAACGACCAGAACUAUGUCUGGGAGUGGCACACUGCUCAGUAACACGUAGCUAACCUACCCUUAGGACGUGGAUACCCCCGAGAAAUUGGGGUUAAUCCGCGAUAGAUGUAAUGUCCUGGAAUGGUAUUACGUCUAAAGGUAUUUCAUACAUGUUUGAAAUAUGCCUAAGGAUGGGGCUGCGGCCGAUCAGGCUGUUGGUGAGGUAAUGGCUCACCAAACCUUUGACCGGUACGGGCCAUGAGAGUGGUAGCCCGGAGAUGGACACUGAGACAAGGGUCCAGGCCCUAAGGGGCGCAGCAACCGCGAAACCUCCACAAUGCACUCACGUGCGAUGGGGCUAUCUCGAGUGCCACCUGAUGAAGGUGGCUUUUCCUUGGUCUUCAAAGCCUUGGGAAUAAGAGGGGGGCAAGACUGGUGUCAGCCGCCGCGGUAACACCAGCCCCUCGAGUGGUGGGGAUGAUUAUUUGGCCUAAAGCGUCCGUAGCCGGCCGAGUAGGUCCCCCGUUAAAUCCCGUCUCAAGCGUUGGACUGCCGGAGAUACUACUUGGCUAGAGAGUGGGAGAGGUCAGCGGUAUUCUGGGGGUAGGG